UACGAAGGGGGCUAGCGUUGUUCGGAAUUACUGGGCGUAAAGCGCGCGUAGGCGGUGAUCUUUGUCAGAGGUGAAAGCCUGGGGCUUAACUCCAGAAUUGCCUUUGAAACGGGAUUGCUUGAGUCCGAGAGAGGAUGGCGGAAUUCCUAGUGUAGAGGUGAAAUUCGUAGAUAUUAGGAAGAACACCGGUGGCGAAGGCGGCCAUCUGGCUCGGUACUGACGCUCAGGCGCGAAAGCGUGGGGAGCAAACAGG
rnacentral:rRNA from 1 species